rnacentral:rRNA from 1 species
GCAAGUCGAACGAGUUCUGAUUAUUGAAAGGUGCAUUGCAUCUUGAUUUAAUUUUGAACGAGUGGCGGACGGGUGAGUAACACGUGGGUAACCUGCCCUUAAGUGGGGGAUAACAUUUGGAAACAGAUGCUAAUACCGCAUAAAUCCAAGAACCGCAUGGUUCUUGGCUGAAAGAUGGCGUAAGCUAUCGCUUUUGGAUGGACCCGCGGCGUAUUAGCUAGUUGGUGAGGUAACGGCUCACCAAGGCAAUGAUACGUAGCCGAACUGAGAGGUUGAUCGGCCACAUUGGGACUGAGACACGGCCCAAACUCCUACGGGAGGCAGCAGUAGGGAAUCUUCCACAAUGGACGCAAGUCUGAUGGAGCAACGCCGCGUGAGUGAAGAAGGCUUUCGGGUCGUAAAACUCUGUUGUUGGAGAAGAAUGGUCGGCAGAGUAACUGUUGUCGGCGUGACGGUAUCCAACCAGAAAGCCACGGCUAACUACGUGCCAGCAGCCGCGGUAAUACGUAGGUGGCAAGCGUUAUCCGGAUUUAUUGGGCGUAAAGCGAGCGCAGGCGGUUUUUUAAGUCUGAUGUGAAAGCCCUCGGCUUAACCGAGGAAGUGCAUCGGAAACUGGGAAACUUGAGUGCAGAAGAGGACAGUGGAACUCCAUGUGUAGCGGUGAAAUGCGUAGAUAUAUGGAAGAACACCAGUGGCGAAGGCGGCUGUCUGGUCUGUAACUGACGCUGAGGCUCGAAAGCAUGGGUAGCGAACAGGAUUAGAUACCCUGGUAGUCCAUGCCGUAAACGAUGAAUGCUAGGUGUUGGAGGGUUUCCGCCCUUCAGUGCCGCAGCUAACGCAUUAAGCAUUCCGCCUGGGGAGUACGACCGCAAGGUUGAAACUCAAAGGAAUUGACGGGGGCCCGCACAAGCGGUGGAGCAUGUGGUUUAAUUCGAAGCAACGCGAAGAACCUUACCAGGUCUUGACAUCUUUUGAUCACCUGAGAGAUCAGGUUUCCCCUUCGGGGGCAAAAUGACAGGUGGUGCAUGGUUGUCGUCAGCUCGUGUCGUGAGAUGUUGGGUUAAGUCCCGCAACGAGCGCAACCCUUAUGACUAGUUGCCAGCAUUUAGUUGGGCACUCUAGUAAGACUGCCGGUGACAAACCGGAGGAAGGUGGGGAUGACGUCAAAUCAUCAUGCCCCUUAUGACCUGGGCUACACACGUGCUACAAUGGAUGGUACAACGAGUUGCGAGACCGCGAGGUCAAGCUAAUCUCUUAAAGCCAUUCUCAGUUCGGACUGUAGGCUGCAACUCGCCUACACGAAGUCGGAAUCGCUAGUAAUCGCGGAUCAGCACGCCGCGGUGAAUACGUUCCCGGGCCUUGUACACACCGCCCGUCACACCAUGAGAGUUUGUAACACCCGAAGCCGGUGGCGUAACCCUUUUAGGGAGCGAGCCGUCUAAGGUGGGACAAAUGAUUAGGG